AGACCCGAAACCCGGUGAUCUAGCCAUGGGCAGGUUGAAGGUUGGGUAACACUAACUGGAGGACCGAACCGACUAAUGUUGAAAAAUUAGCGGAUGACCUGUGGCUGGGGGUGAAAGGCCAAUCAAACCGGGAGAUAGCUGGUUCUCCCCGAAAGCUAUUUAGGUAGCGCCUCGUGAAUUCAUCUCCGGGGGUAGAGCACUGUUUCGGCUAGGGGGCCAUCCCGGCUUACCAACCCGAUGCAAACUGCGAAUACCGGAGAAUGUUAUCACGGGAGACACACGGCGGGUGCUAACGUCCGUCGUGAAGAGGGAAACAACCCAGACCGCCAGCUAAGGUCCCAAAGUCAUGGUUAAGUGGGAAACGAUGUGGGAAGGCCCAGACAGCCAGGAUGUUGGCUUAGAAGCAGCCAUCAUUUAAAGAAAGCGUAAUAGCUCACUGGUCGAGUCGGCCUGCGCGGAAGAUGUAACGGGGCUAAACCAUGCACCGAAGCUGCGGCAGCGAACGUAUCACUUA
rnacentral:rRNA from 2 species